UUUAUCCGACAAUAGAUUAUCUGGUAUGAUUCCAAACACUAUUGGCAACUGUUUGCGUUUGGAACAGCUUCAUUUAGAGGGAAAUUCUUUUCAAGGAGAGAUACCUCAGGUUUUAAGUGCUUUACAAGGUUUAAAAGAGCUUGAUAUUUCAAAAAACAAUUUUUCAGGACGAAUACCUAAUUCUUUAGCUGACCUUGACGGGAUGAACUAUUUAAAUCUGUCUUUUAAUCAGCUCCAAGGGGAGGUUCCAAACCGUGGGGUCUUUCUAAAUGCAAGUGCAGUUGCAUUGACGGGAAACAAUGGUCUCUGUGGAGGUAUUACUGAAUUGGACCUUCCUUCUUGUGCCUUCCCCAAGUCCAAGAAGAACAACCUCUCCAUUGCACUGAAAGUAACAAUCCCAGUAGUUGUUAUUGCAACUUUUUUGGCUCUAUUGACGUGUUUCUUCAUUUUCUGGCAUACGAAAAGAAAGGCUAGAAAAAAGAACAUUUCCAUGCCAUCAUUUGAGAACCAAUUUCUGAGAAUAUCCUAUGCAGAA
rnacentral:misc_RNA from 1 species